GGGUCAUUAGCUCAGUUGGUUAGAGCGCAUUCUUGAUAAGGAUGAAGUCCCUGGUUCAAAUCUAGGAUGACCCA
rnacentral:tRNA from 1 species